GGGGGCGCAAUGGUUUCGACGGGGAUUUUGAAGUAUUUGGAGCGAGCCGUGGUGGGAGCCACGAUAAAAUCCCAACUUUUAAAUUAAACGCUAACAAAAAUUUAGCUUACGCUGCCUAAAUUAUAGGCGCUGUCCUUUCUCCCUCACCGCAAGGGAGAGUUAGGGCAUCAUCAGACGCGGUGAACAUGAACCGGGAAAGCUUUGACCCGGUCACGAUUUUAUGAAGCUACCGGCGCAUACCGCCUGUCUUUGGGCAAUAUGCGUGGGGAAUCUUAAACAAAGACUACGCUCGUAGCGCUAGAUAUGAAUAGGUUUUCGGACAGGGGUUCAAUUCCCCUCGCCUCCACCA
rnacentral:tmRNA from 1 species